GAGUGCAUUUCGAUUCACAUUGGUCAGGCCGGUAUUCAGGUCGGAAAUGCCUGCUGGGAACUUUAUUGCCUUGAGCAUGGCAUUCAGCCUGAUGGCCAGAUGCCAAGUGACAAGACCGUCGGUGGAGGGGACGAUGCUUUUAACACCUUUUUCAGCGAAACUGGUGCAGGGAAGCACGUCCCUCGCGCUGUGUUUGUUGAUCUUGAGCCCACUGUUAUUGAUGAAGUGAGGACUGGAACUUAUCGCCAGCUUUUCCACCCUGAGCAACUUAUUAGUGGCAAGGAGGAUGCUGCCAACAACUUUGCACGUGGCCACUAUACCAUUGGGAAAGAGAUUGUUGAUCUCUGCUUGGACCGUAUCAGAAAGCUUGCUGACAACUGCACUGGCCUCCAGGGAUUCUUGGUGUUCAAUGCUGUUGGAGGUGGUACUGGUUCUGGACUGGGAUCACUUCUCUUGGAGCGUCUCUCUGUUGACUAUGGCAAAAAAUCAAAGCUUGGUUUCACUGUUUAUCCCUCGCCUCAGGUUUCCACAUCAGUUGUAGAGCCAUAUAAUAGUGUUCUUUCAACUCACUCACUCCUUGAGCACACAGAUGUGGCCGUGCUCCUUGACAAUGAGGCCAUCUAUGACAUAUGCAGGCGCUCUCUUGACAUUGAGCGUCCAACUUACACCAAUCUUAACCG
rnacentral:misc_RNA from 1 species